GAGGGCCUAUUUCCCAUGAUUCCUUCAUAUUUGCAUAUACGAUACAAGGCUGUUAGAGAGAUAAUUGGAAUUAAUUUGACUGUAAACACAAAGAUAUUAGUACAAAAUACGUGACGUAGAAAGUAAUAAUUUCUUGGGUAGUUUGCAGUUUUAAAAUUAUGUUUUAAAAUGGACUAUCAUAUGCUUACCGUAACUUGAAAGUAUUUCGAUUUCUUGGCUUUAUAUAUCUU
rnacentral:misc_RNA from 1 species